UACGUAGGAGGCAAGCGUUGUCCGGAAUACUGGGCGUAAAGCGUGCGCAGGCGGUUAUGUAAGACAGGUGUGAAAUCCCCGGGCUUAACCUGGGAACUGCAUUUGUGACUGCAUAGCUAGAGUACGGUAGAGGGGGAUGGAAUUCCGCGUGUAGCAGUGAAAUGCGUAGAUAUGCGGAGGAACACCGAUGGCGAAGGCAAUCCCCUGGACCUGUACUGACGCUCAUGCACGAAAGCGUGGGGAGCAAACAGG
rnacentral:rRNA from 1 species